GUGGGUCACAGGCCAGUGUGAGGAGGAGCCAACCCCUGACCCAGGGCCCUCGUCUCUCUCUUUUAUGUAUUUAUUUUAUUUGGUACUGGGGAUUAAGCCCAGGGGUACUUUGCUACUGAACUAAUGCCCAGCCCUUUCUACUUUUCAUUUUGAGACAGGGUCUCACUAAGUUGCUUGGGUCCUGACUAAGUGGCUAACGCUGGCCUCGAACUUGUGAUCCUCUUGCCCCAGCCUCCUGAGCUGUAGGGAUUACAGAUGUGCCCCACCACGCCUACUUGUCUCAUCUCUCUUUGUUCAUGCCCUCUUUUCCUCAGCUCCUUUUUUCCUCUUGGUGCCCCUUUCUCCUGCCUGCCACUGAACGGGGAGCUGGGGUGUGCAUAACAGGGCUCGGCCCAGUCCAGGUUUCCAUAAAUGCUAUUCAUUAUAACUCAGAGAAGUUCUGGUGGCGGUGGAUCCACCCUGGCUUCUUCUAUUUCAUGGUACUGUAAUGGAGAGGAGGAAAGGGCGCAGGCCUCUAGCCCCUGAGCUCAGACAGCUUCCGGAGUGUGAGUGGGGGGUAGGCACGUGUACGGGGGUGGUCACUGGGCCAGCGUGAGUCCAUGCCGCAGCCUCCGUUGGGUUCAGGUGGGUCUUGCAGGGAAUGGAGCAGCGGCUGAAAGUCAAGUUGCUUGGGCAAGAGGAAGGGUUUCUGGUGUGUUCUUCGUGCUGCCUGAUGAAGGACCCUCUGUUAUGUCCCUGAGAUUUCACACUCGAGUCCCGUGGACACAGGAGGCUGUGCAUUGUAAUCUGGAAGGGAUUUUUACUGAAGUUGCAGGAGGUGAAUGGUCAAGAAAUGGUGCUUCUGUACCUGUUGGCCAGAACCGAGAAAGCAGUGUCUUGCCUACUGAGCACAGAAGACAGGAUGUCCUUUUCGCACUGGGGAUGUGAGAACACGGUGUGGCUUUGGCCCUUCGUAUACAAGAAUGGUAACGCAGUGCCUGGGGCACCCAGCAGUGCCCAGCAGGGCAGCGGCACCUUGCAGG
rnacentral:lncRNA from 1 species